AUCCCGUGCUCGCUCUCUUCUCUCUGCACGCGCUCGCGCGCGCGCGCACACACACACACACACACACACACACACACACACAGCCUCCUCCCUUCUCCUAACCCGCCCCGCCCCCGCCGCUAGACGCCGCCGCGGCCGGCUCACGCACGCUGUAAACUUUUGACCCUCCAACUUUGCGACCCCUCCGGCAAUAACACUGGCCUCACCGCCCAGUGUCUCAUUCUGCUGCACCGGCUGCAGAAACCCAAAUGCCAAACGCCUUCCCUGCCCUUCCCCCUUCGCCCCCUCCCGCCCCCGCCCCCGCCCCCAUCCCCGCCCCCACGAAAGGCCUUGGACUGGGGAAGAAGAGUCAGCUUCGGAUUAUUAAAUAACUCCUCUUCAGGGAAAAGAUGCCGACUCCACUUCCGGCUUUCUUCUCCACUUCCCGCAUUUUCACCAGCCCCUCUGGUUAAUUUGCCUGGAAGGCUUUUGAUGACCCACCCCACUCAAUUCCUGCCCCUGAGAUUGGGGCCGCGGUUGCUGGGGGAGGGGACAUUUGGGAAGCCAUAGAAAGGGCUGACCUGGAGAAAGGUGUUUCAGGGUGGAGAAGCGUGGAGAGAGCUUGGAGCAAGUAUUCCUUGGGAGUGGAGGGGGCCACAGGCCCCAUGGAGGCUGGAGAGAGAGCUCAGUGUCCAGUCUCUGCAAGGCCCAGCGGGCCCGGGGCCACCUUGCGCGGCCGCUCGCUGGCGCCUCGGAGGCUCCAGCCUGGCUAUGAACUUGGUCUAAGGCGGACUCUACUGGCAGCUCGGGGACGUUACAGCCUCUGCCUCUCGGCCAGCUCAGCGGCCGCGCGGCGACCUGUGCUCUUUCGGUUUCCUUGGCUCCCAAAUAUCGACUCCCAAACCCCCACUUCUCCCAGGGAAGGAUUUCGUUUCAACUUCCCUAGGGGUCCUUGGUGGUGGUUGGGGGGUGUCGGUAAACAGAAGAGAGAGAGUGAAUUAGAAAGACCCGCAGAGAGAAAGACUGGAACAAGCCCGAAGAAGCUCCGAUUUAUGGGGCUUCUGCGCCAUCGCUCCCACAUGCUGGGACUUUCCCUCUUCUGCUUCCCUAAACGCGAGUUUUCAGGCUGAAUCCCUUCCUUUCCACCUUCCCCACCCCCACCCCAUCCCCAUCUCUAGGCGAGCCAGGCUGGGGCCUGCAAGGUACCUUUCCUCCCUGGAUGCAUUCACCCCUACCCCACAGGACUCCGAGGUCAGGCAUCGCUGCAACCAAAGCCAGACGCCGCACUCACAGGCCCCAGCGAGGCCGCAGCUCUAGCCACCUCAGCCCGAAUCCACUCGGAGAGCAAGGCCAGAGCGCGCGGCUGUGCAGCCUUGGAGAGGUUUCCAGGAAGAAGUUAGAGGAUGCUGCAGAGAGCGUAUUUUUCCUCUCCAAGAAGCGAUUUGGGGAGAGAAGAGACUGGACAGAGGAGGCCUAAAACACAGAGGAAAAGGCAGAGAAGGGAGCGAGAAAGAGAUGAAAACUUAAGGUGCUGAUACUCGGGUCCGACAGGUCCAGAAUUGCCCGAAAUCCAGUCCUGUCCAGUCGCUUAAAUCCCUCACUUCCCUUUGGAGCCCACGCUCUGGGUCUCAGUAAAUUCACCAAAGGGAGCGAAAAAUCGGCCUAAACCUGUGGGUGGCGGAGGUGGCGGCGGCGCGGCCGGCGGCGCGUAAUGUAUUCGGCAACGGCUCCGGAGCCCCAAGUAGGCCGGCGCUCCGGCCCCGUCUGCUGACCUCUGCGUGAUCCCGGACUCUAUGAAUUAUUGAUGAGAUAUGAGCGUUGAUUUCCCCUUUCAGGAUGCAAACUCCAUUAUAUUGUUAAAAUGGCGAUUUAAUCGUUGAGAAUAGCUUUGGUGUGGGUUUUCUCCCCCAACUCAUUUGCGCCUCCUUCCUUUUCAUUUAACUCUCUUAAUUAAAUCCUUUAACAGAUUUUAAUCACUUUUUGGAGGGAGGGGUGGGAGGAAGGGGAAGGCCAUCACUACCAACAACAACAAACACUAAAAACAAGCCGGAAACCCAUAAAAAGCUUCUACCUUGGGGAAGUUGAAAGGAAGGUGGGGAGGGGGUGUUAACCCCUUGGGAAAGGUCAUGCUGGGAACAACCACCAGAGGAUCCAUCCAUCCCAGUGCUGGGGCAAACUGACUCUGACAGGGAAGUGUUGGGCCUGGGAGGUGUUUAAUUCCACCCUGGAGGAGACGUGUGUGGAGUCCGACCGUGGGGAGUAAGUCACGCUUACCCUUCUUGCUGAGAAGCCAAGGGACAUGGAGCUCGGGCAAGAGACUCUUUCUUGCAGGGAGCAACCCUCCGUUCUGUGCUGGGUGGGGGGCACCGCUUAGGGAGAGAUGUUCUUUCUCCUUAGGGGCCCCCGUUUCUCCCCUCCCCCACCCCCAACAUCUCGUUUUCCAGGCGGUGUCUGGGUUAAUUAAUAUGGAUGUGUAACAGCGCUCCAGCAAUCGAUAAAUCCCGCUGCGGGCAGAUCCCAGCCUCGAAAUCCGAUUACUCUGAGAAACUCCAAAAAAAUGGAGACAGUGACCAUGGGGCUCUCCCCUUAAAAGAAUGAGGUGUUCUUGGCCUCUUGGCCUCCCUUGGUUGGCUGGGCUGGUCCCCAAGCUGGGAAGCCCAGGCAGGUGAGAGCCUUCUCUGCUCAGUCCUGGAAGGGACUGCAUUUGGGGGACUGUGCUGAGCGGUCUGUCUUCUCCCUUGCUCUGAAUCCUUGGCUUCCACCCCAGCAUCUGAGCCUCAGUGAUAAAGGAACCAGGCCCAAGAGAGGUGCUUCCACUUGGAUCCUGCUCCCCACACCCUGAUCCCCUAAACCCCAAUGAAUAUGUCUCACAGCCAGGGAAGAGUUAAGUGUCCUGCUGCAGUUAUGGAGAGGAAGCCGAUGAAAUAUGGGCCCUUGGAACUCCAGGCCUGGCUGGCUUUCCUGUUUACACUUCUUUAUACUUCCUCCCACCCCGUGGCCUCCGUGAAAUAAAACAAAAAAACAAAACCAAAAAAUAACCAAAUAAAAGAAAAUAAAAUCAAAUUGUCCACUGAGGGGUGGUCAGCCUGGCCUCAGAGAGAAAAGGGAAACUGCAGCAUUAACCUCUGGCUGCUGGCCCCCUCCGGGCCUGCCCCUGGGGGCAGGGAGCUGAUGGGUUUGGCCAGCGGGUGCUGCCAGCCUGCAGCUCAGAAGGUUGGUGCCUGGACAGGGCCAAGGAGGGGAAUAAUAUGGGAGAGGAGGAGGGGGGGAACAGUUUUCCCUGAUAAUGUCUUGGAGAAACUGAAGCAGAGGACAUGGGUGGGUCUAGGGCCGGGAGAGCUCCUUUGCACCAGAAACCAUUUGGAACCUCUCAUCCCCUCCCCCAACACAUCCUUUCGGGGUUCAGGGAAGACCAGAUAACCUGAAAGGGGGAAGAGGAAAAUCUAGCUAGGGUGGUGUCUUCUCCAGGCAGGAUUUGCUCAGAGCAGGAGAAGACCCCUCCCCCCAAGAGUUUUGGCUGCUGCAGCGGAAGCAGGCACCCCCCCACCCUGCUCUUUGCCAUUCCGGAAAAUCUGCCUAGAUAUGCCCAACAGAUGUCCCUGGGUUGCUAGCCCCACACAAUCUUUAUCAGGGUUUGCAGAACUGAGGUGGGAGGGGGCCAAAAAAAAUCUUGAGGAGCAGGCCUGGUGGUCUGGGGGUUCUCAGAGAGAUUGGCUGGUGGGACUGGUGUGGCCUUAGAGUGAGAUGAGGGCACAAUAAGAAUGGGGUUUCCCUGGCAGCCCCAGGUCCCCAGAUUCUUCUGCCACUGAACUCUCUUCCUUUGCUCCUCAUUCAAUUCAUUUACCUUGUCCAGGGGAGAAGCCCCUGGCAGUACUAUGCUUCCAAAAUGUAUUAGGAUUUUAAAUGGUGCUCACCAUCUUUUGGGAGCUGACCAGAAUCUCCUUUCCAAGGACACAAAUGCCCCAUGAUUCUGGGGGAGAUGUGUCUUCACACCAAGGUGAGGACCUCAAGCUCUCCCUUUUUGCACUCCAAGCCUAUGAAGGGUCUCCUGUAAAUCAGACCUGGGCAGGGACAGGUGGCUGCAGGAGACAGAGGUGAGGGGGAGAGAGUUCACAUGUUCUUUAACAUGCAGUGGGGGAAUCUUAUGACCCGCUCCUUGUCCCAGAGCUCAGAAGCCCCUUAAGGUGCCAUGUGUCCAAUUCCAGGGGCAAAGAGAGCUGGGGAGCUGAAUCUAGAGAUGGUGGGCUGGCAAAAACAGGACUGACAAGAGUGGUUGACCCCCAAAGAUCUUAAAAUUGGGAGGUCACUCCGGUGAAUAAGAGGCCUCUGGCUUUUAGAAGGAGGAUGACCUAGGCUUAGAAAAUAAUGAAAUGCCUCUGGUUUGUGGUGCCACAAAACAAAGGGGCCUCUAGACUCCAGUGGGGAGAGAAGAAGAUAAGGAAGAAGAGGCAAGACAGCACCUUUCCAGUUUUCUCUCCCCACUCCUGAGUCCCUUUUCUGAAUCUGCCCACUGUUGGGGUCUGUGUUCUCCAACAGGUUUUAUUGGGGGGGGGAUUGCCAGGAUUCUACUUAAACACCUAGCUCCCCUAGACAAAAAGAGGAACUCUCCCAUUCCCCUCACUCCUGGCCAGGAAUUAGGCUUUGGAUUUGAGGGAAAUGCCCUCCCUCUGUCCGCUCUGCACUUGGACCUCAGGACCCUCCCUAGAGCCAAGCCAGAAGGUGGGCUUGGGACCAAAAGGCCUCGGCCUCUGGGACAAGUUGGGUGCAAAGGCAGCACGCUCCCUACCCUGGGAGAGCCCUGAUCAGGCCAUGGAGAACCAGACUACCCCCCUUUCAUGGGGCUCAAAGAUCUAAAAGCCAGAGAUGCCCUGAUGCAAGGCAGCCCACCACAGCUGGGUUAACCUUCCCCGUGCUUUUUCUCAGCUCAGAUGGAUCCAGAUAAAAGUGCCCGGCGGCGCACCCACACACACCCCUGACCAAUGAAUGUCAUAAAGUGGGGAGAGGUCUGUCUGAAGACAUCAGGAGCGACGUGGUCCCCCCCCACACACACAGGGCCCUCCAUUCAGCGGUACACACCCCUCCUUCUUGCCCCCUAAAUUUCCAAGGGCACUGACGGAACCCACGCAAGCCUCUUCGCCACAGAGUCACACACUCCUGCAAAGAAAACCAGGCGCCCCGGACCGUGGAGGCCUUAUCAACCUGAACCGAGUGCCCCCACAUCAGACACCCAGCUUGUCUGAACGCGGUGCAAAAAGCAGACUCCAUCCCCCCCCCGCCUUACCAUCCUACACCCCUGCCCAAGGCAAGAUUUCCUUCCCCCAGUUCCAAGCCCUACAGUUGCGAGGGGAAAAGCGAAAGCUGGAAGCGACUUACUGCCGAGGAGAGCUGGGCCUGGGCUGCCGCCACGCCACCGCCACCGCCUUCUGGGCUGGGAAGAGCGCUCACCUACCUCUGCCCCCUUCCCCACCACGGCGAGCAGUUAAAGUGUCACUUAACAUUCUGGAGAAUGUGAAAUAUACCGCGCGGUGUCAACUCCCCAAAACCAUAAAACUAACUUUAUGGACCUCACGUGACUUUCUCGAGCCAGUGAGGGGUAUCUGUCUGACUUCUCGGCGAUUUUUACGAUCUAACUUCAAGAUAAAACCCCUAUCCAUUUGACAUCUAAAUGUCAUAGCGACUUUUGGGAUAGUUUGCUAUGGACAAAGGGGGACAAAGUCAAGGGGUGAGGGGGAAGGAGGGCCCAGGAGAGCCUCCAGGACCCUCGGCAGCCUCCUCACCAGCUCCCCCUCCCCCCCCAGUCCUGUAAGAAGUUGGGCCAAGCUGGAAGGGAUUGACCGGAUGCUCACCACCCUUCUGUCUGUCACUCAGCAUCUCUGCAAUCCCUCCCACAUCUCAUGUUUGUAUCGCCGGCUUGCUGCCUACAAGCUUUGGUGUGAGUGAGAAUGUACACCUCUGACUGUCUCACUCUCUCAUCGAAGGAAAAUGAGCAUUGGAGCCAGGCUGGAAGAUGGAGCCAAGGUUGCCUGUCGCGAGAUGGAGCCGCAAAGGCAGGGCCUGGGCGCCUGGAGUCCAGCAUGAAAGGAAAUAGCGCCUCAUCGCUCUUAUCUAAGCCCAGAGCCGCCUCCUCGCCCUUGCUGGCCUCUGCGGAGAUUCCAGGCCCUCCGGAGACCAGGAGACCUCAGCGGCCACCGCCCCUCGUGCCAAUGCUGCCGGGAAACCACCGAUACCCGCACCGGGCAAGAGAACUGCGCUGGGGGCCACUGGAGGAGGCGGGAACAAGGGAGGGAUGGGGGGAGGGGGAGGGGGCGCAAACCCACAGAGGCCAUAGUAACCGGCUUCUGCCGGCGCCCCCCCAAGCCCAAACGCCCCCAUUCUCUCUUUCGCAGCCCCCUUGCUUAAACCUCUCCUCCCAGCUUAAAAACGAGACUCAGAGCUCACCUCCGUGGCCCUCUUUCGGUUCCUCCUGUGGUCAGCCCUGCCUUGCUUCCCCUCCAGGAAGCAGCCGCCCCUCUCUAGGCCACCCAAUUUCCUGGGAAGCCUCUCCCUGCAGCGCCCAGAGGUGGGGUUCAGCCCCAUCUUGGAGGGGGGAGAAGGAGGGAGACAAACCCAAGCCCCACCCCCUACAAAAUCAAUGCAAAAAAUACGAGAAUUGUAGCAUCUCCCUUACCUUUGCAGACCUUGGGAUUUCUUUCUUCCGAUUGAAAGGGGUGGGGAGAAAGGAAAGGGAAAAAAAAAAAAAGAGCGUUUGGUUUCUUCUUCAUCUUUCAGAUAAUAUUGUCCCAACCUGAGAGCCGUUGCUUCCUCUUCUCUGACUUGGGAGAGAGGGUGUUUCGCUUUUCUGAUAUUUGCAUAUAAAAUGGAGUAAGUUCUGGCUUUGAAAAAUGGUAUCAGGCUGCAGUCCUGGGCAGGUGGUCCAUUUACACUCCAUGAUGACUAAAAUCCCAGAUCAGCAAGCAAAUUAACUUAGAAAUGAAAAUUAUUUUUGAUUCUCUCUUUUGUGUAAUUCCCACCCCCUCCUUCCCUCUCUCUCUCCCUCUCUCUCCUUUCCUCCUCUCCCCCUCUCCUUUCCUCUCUCUCUUUUGCUUUAUCGAGCUGAUACUGAAGUAUAAAAAUAUCAAGAGGCUGGAGCCCUGAAGGACGACAGUGCUCCGACCUAGGUGUGGUGUCCAAAAGAAUGCUGCAUUAUAACCACCAGGGAAAUGAUAAAAAGUUCAUGUUCACGAUCGCCCGGCCACAUGACCGGCGCUGGCCAAUCGCUGGAUUCAACCACUCAUAAACUUCUAUCACAAAGUUGUAAAUUUUCAUAAAAC